AGGAAUCUACCCUAAAGAUGGGCAUAGCUUGUCGAAAGACGAGGUAAUACCCAAUGUGAACGCAAGUUCAAAGACGUAAGUCGCUUUAGGAUGAGCCUGCGGCCUAUCAGGUAGUUGGUGGGGUAAUGGCCUACCAAGCCUAUGACGGGUAGCUGAUCUGAUGAGGAUGAUCAGCCAGAGGGGGACUGCGACACGGCCCCCACACCUACGGGUGGCAGCAGCCGGGAAUUUUGCGCAAUGGACGAAAGUCUGACGCAGCGACGCCGCGUGCGGGAUGAAGGCCUUCGGGUUGUAAACCGACAUCAAAAAGCAUUGGCUAACUACGUGCCAG
rnacentral:rRNA from 1 species